rnacentral:lncRNA from 1 species
AUGAAUAUUUAUAAGAUACAUCUUGAGAAGAAUAUAAGGUGUGACAUUUGUUGUCACUUGUGAUUCAAAUCAACCCCAUCAUGUGCAAGUAGGAAAUGUUGGAAAAUACAUUUAAUAGGUCACCCAUGUGGAGUAACCCGACCCGCAAGAUUUUAAAAAGGUUGGAAGGAAUGGUUUGAAUUUGGAAUUCAAAUCUAUAACUCUCAAAUAACUCCUUGUAACCUUCAUAUAGAAGUUAUGAAAAAGUGAACAAAAGAAGCAUGAAAAAGAGGAAAAAAUUCGUAUGAAAAUUGACAUCAAAAUUGGAAAGUCUCUAAAACUAUAUUUUUUGCAUUAAAUCUCACAAAAGAUGGCACUUAGAUUGUGGAUAAUAAUUCCCUGCUAUUGUGAUCGGGAUUAGGACCAUUGGAGAACCAUAAAAUGCAGAUUUUGGAGCUUUGGAAUGCAAUGUGAUUCAACCACAUAAAAGGUCUUGAAAUUCAUCAUUUGAAGUAAGUUUCUUGACUCAAAAUUCAUGUCAAAGUAUGCCGCGAUUCCCUACAUUAAGUUAUGAGAAAAAAGUUAUGUUUAAGGGCCUCGUAUUUACUCAUGAAUGUUUCUUCAAGGAUCACUAGGUAAACAUAUCAUACCUGAGGGCCUCAUCAUAGUUAUCUGCUAGCCCUGAGAACCCGACCCCAAUAGUCCCUUUUCUACGAACCACCUUGGUGAGCCUGUCUUCGUCAACGAAUUUAGUUCACAGAUUCGCCUCACUUUCUCCACCGACAAGCCUAGUUUGCAGCUUUGCCUAACCGAGUGACCCCAACAAGGUUCACAAAAAGUAGCUCACAUGUAGCAUCCAUAUUGGAUGAGUUUCGAUCAUUUUUAGCCACUUUCAACGAGCCUGGAAGGUUGUUACCAUGUAGAUGAAUAUGUGGAUCGCUAGAUUCUGACUUGCUCAGCAGCUUAGCACUUUGAGGAUGACAGGAAUCAAGCAGCCCAGUUUCACACCGAAAAACUUAUUAAGCAAGAGGAAAUCUCUUUCAAUGUGGAUGAGGAAUUUAAUUCAGCAACAUGGCUGGCGUGCUCUAAACUGCCUGCAAGGAGCCACGUUCAGAAUUUCUAGAGAGCAUCUUGAAACCAAUACUAACGUCGGCAAGUUUAAUAAAUAUUUUGGUUUUCCUUCUUGACUCCCAUGACCAGUCCCUCCGUUGUGGCACAAUUCUUGUGCCUGUCCCGCAGCAAGAGUGCCUCAACAGCCGAAGCCGGAGGUGAGGGUGCGCUGGAGCUGCCUCGACAAAAGUUGAUGGAGGCUGGAGGUUGCGGUAUACCCAGAAGUAUCAAAAGUCAUAGUUGGAGGUUUAAUUUUGGUUUAGACAUUUUACGGAGCAUCUGAUGGACGCAGUAGCGCUGAGAUUUUAUGAGAACAAAUGACGGCUGCCUCUAAUCCCAUGCUCAACACAAUACCCCAAUUAUGCCCGUUUUAGAAUAUCUGCGUCCUACGUUGGCGAAAGACAAGGAAGAGACAGUAUUCAUAACCAUGGAGAGGUGCCCCAUGGUCCAACGCGAGGCUUGAAUUGAAUAUCUCCACUAUUAGAGAAGAAUCUAAAAGACUGUCAUACAGCAGGUGGCGACUCAAGGUUCUUACCACCACGGCGGGAAGAUUCGGAGCAGUCGGAAGCAACUACCACUGCGCCUGCCUCGACGGCAUUCAACGGAGGCUACGGGAGCCUCGGUGCCGGAGGGAGCACCGGGGCCAGAUCUUGGCCCAGUGUUCAGUCCAACACCGAGACCAAGGGGGAUCUAGACGGAGUGGCACGUUGGUCCGUCGUAGCUGGACUGUUUUAACGACUAUGGCUUGAGGCAUGAUGCAGUCCACGAAAUCUCUAGCUUAGGCUGGAAGACUUUGAAACGGGGAAAAUGGAAGUGAAAGGCUCAAUUUGUAAAGUGAAAAUAAAGAGGCCAUUUGCUCCUUUUUGAAGGCGAUCCUACUGAAAGGCGAUCCACAGUAGGAUUUUAAUGAAAAUUUUGACGGUUAGGC